AUGUACCACUCGUACACUCCGGUUCCUGUGCGCCGCCCGCACCCGCCUGACGACUGCUCGCCACAUAACGCAGGUUGGCC
rnacentral:sRNA from 1 species